AGUGAGGGUAGAGGUGCAAAGAUCAUCAGUAAACAUGUUGAGGAGAAUGAGCUCCAAGGAACCAUGUUAAAAGGGAUAUUUGCCGAAGCUAUUGGUAGCUCAUAAUCCAAUCGCUGGGACUGUUUUGAAUAAGAGCAGGACUGUCAUAUAGCAUGGCUAUAUGGAGGGCUAUCUCACAC
rnacentral:ncRNA from 2 species